UCGAACGGCAGCACGGGGGCAACCCUGGUGGCGAGUGGCGAACGGGUGAGUAACAUAUCGGAACGUGCCCUGGAGUGGGGGAUAACUAGUCGAAAGAUUAGCUAAUACCGCAUACGAUCUACGGAUGAAAGUGGGGGAUCGCAAGACCUCAUGCUCGUGGAGCGGCCGAUAUCUGAUUAGCUAGUUGGUGGGGUAAAGGCCUACCAAGGCAUCGAUCAGUAGCUGGUCUGAGAGGACGACCAGCCACACUGGGACUGAGACACGGCCCAGACUCCUACAGGAGGCAGCAGUGGGGAAUUUUGGACAAUGGGCGCAAGCCUGAUCCAGCAAUGCCGCGUGAGUGAAGAAGGCCUUCGGGUUGUAAAGCUCUUUUGUCAGGGAAGAAACGGUUCGGGUUAAUACCUUGGGCUAAUGACGGUACCUGAAGAAUAAGCACCGGCUAACUACGUGCCAGCAGCCGCGGUAAUACGUAGGGUGCAAGCGUUAAUCGGAAUUACUGGGCGUAAAGCGUGCGCAGGCGGUUGUGCAAGACAGAUGUGAAAUCCCCGGGCUCAACCUGGGAAUUGCAUUUGUGACUGUACGGCUAGAGUGUGUCAGAGGGGGGUAGAAUUCCACGUGUAGCAGUGAAAUGCGUAGAGAUGUGGAGGAAUACCGAUGGCGAAGGCAGCCCCCUGGGAUAACACUGACGCUCAUGCACGAAAGCGUGGGGAGCAAACAGGAUUAGAUACCCUGGUAGUCCACGCCCUAAACGAUGUCUACUAGUUGUCGGGUCUUUAUUGACUUGGUAACGCAGCUAACGCGUGAAGUAGACCGCCUGGGGAGUACGGUCGCAAGAUUAAAACUCAAAGGAAUUGACGGGGACCCGCACAAGCGGUGGAUGAUGUGGAUUAAUUCGAUGCAACGCGAAAAANCUUUACCUACCCUU
rnacentral:rRNA from 1 species